rnacentral:rRNA from 1 species
UACGGGGGGAGCAAGCGUUGUUCGGAUUUACUGGGCGUAAAGGCGCGUAGGCGGUCAGCACAAGUCAGUUGUGAAAUCUCCGGGCUAACUCGGAAAGGUCAACUGAUACUGUGCGACUAGAGUGCAGAACGGGGCAACUGGAAUUCUCGGUGUAGCGGUGAAAUGCGUAGAUAUCGAGAGGAACACCUGCGGCGAAGGCGGGUUGCUGGGCUGACACUGACGCUGAACUGCGAAAGCUAGGGGAGCGAACGGG